GUCUUUUUGAGUUAUUUUUAAAGUCUGACCUGCCCACUGAAUUUAGUUUAAAUGGCCGCAGUAUUUUAACUGUGCAAAGGUAGCAUAAUCAUUAGUCUUUUAAUUGAAGGCUGGUAUGAAUGGUUGGACGAAGUAUAAGCUGUUUCAUAUGAAAUUGUAUUAGAAUUUUAUUUUUUAGUUAAAAAGCUAAAAUUUAAUUAAAAGACGAGAAGACCCUAUAAAUCUUUAUAUUUAAAAUUUAUAUAAAUUUUUUUGAUUUUUUUUGUUUUUAUAUAUUUACAUAUUUUAUUGGGGUGAUAUUAAAAUUUAAUAAACUUUUAAUUACUAUUAUUAUUAAAUCAUUAAUUUAUGAAUUAUUGAUCCGUUAUUAGUGAUUAUAAAAUUAAGUUACUUUAGGGAUAACAGCGUAAUUUUUUUUGAGAGUUCAUAUCGAUAAAAAAGUUUGCGACCUCGAUGUUGGAUUAAGAUAUAUUUUUAGGUGUAGUUGCUUAAAUAUUAAGUCUGUUCGACUUUUAAAUUCUU
rnacentral:rRNA from 1 species